rnacentral:rRNA from 1 species
UACGGGGGGAGCAAGCGUUGUUCGGAUUUACUGGGCGUAAAGGGCGCGUAGGCGGUCGUGACAAGUCACUUGUGAAAUCUCCGGGCUUAACUCGGAAAGGUCAAGUGAUACUGUCGGACUAGAGUUCGGUAGGGGCAGAGGGAAUUCCCGGUGGAGCGGUGAAAUGCGUAGAGAUCGGGAGGAACACCAAAGGCGAAAGCACUCUGCUGGGCCGCAACUGACACUGAGAGACGAAAGCGAGGGGAGCAAAUGGG